rnacentral:rRNA from 1 species
GGGAAAGGCGAAAAGAACCCCGGCGAGGGGAGUGAAAAAGAACCUGAAACCGUGUACGUACAAGCAGUGGGAGCCCCACCACUAAGCCAGUGGUGAACUCCACAUACGCAUCCUUUGCUGAGGAUACGGUUAACGGAGCGAAAGCGACGUUCAACCGCAAAAGAAGCAGAGGGGGCUUAGUGGUGGGGUGACUGCGUACCUUUUGUAUAAUGGGUCAGCGACUUAUAUUCUGUAGCAAGGUUAACCGUAUAGGGGAGCCGGAGGGAAACCGAGUCUUAACCGGGCGUUAAGUUGCAGGGUAUAGACCCGAAACCCGGUGAUCUAGCCAUGGGCAGGUUGAAGG